AGGUUAUCAGUAAAACCGACUCCAUUCAACGCUGGCACCGCGUCCUGUGCCAGUCACUGAGAAAGAGCGUAUACGUAUAUGUACGGUUUACGGAUUUACAUGCAGACACACAGAAAUGAGAAUCACCUGCAGCGGAAACCUGUUGCGUAAGAAGAGUCGAAUUUGUCACGAAUGGAAUAGACACCUGAUAGUUCGACGCUGAUAAGCCGCAUGGACCGAGCGAACAAUAGCCGAGUAGUCCAGUCGAAAUUAGGUCUGAAUUGAAAAUAUUCGGGAUGUGGCUGCAUUUUUGUGUAUUGGUGUUAUCGACUCUCAGGUAUUCAAAUUUGAAGUCACUUUUUAGCUGUAUAGCCGGCGUUUCGAGAAAACAGCUAAAUUUCACGUUUUUUGCAUUUUCCUCAAAAACUGUUAUUGGUAGAUGAAAAAUGACUUGACCACCGUGUAGAGCGGAAAAUUCUACAUCGAAUCAUGUUCUCAUAUGUCGGAAACGAAGUCGGAGUAACAACUUAGAAAAAAACAAAUAUUUCUCAAAAAUUCCCCAGAUAUCGUCGAUAAGUAGAAUUUCUUUUUUAUUAAUUUGCUAACCCGACGCCGUUUUCGAUAUACGAGGGCAUAAUUUGAUGUGGAAUUUUUAGCUCUACACGAUGAUCAAAUCAAUUUUCAUAUACCGAUAGCAGUUUUUGAGGAAAAUGCAAAAAACCUCAAAUUUGCAGUUUCCUGGAAACGUUGCCUAUGCAGCUCAAAAAUGACUUCAGAUUUAAGUUCCUGAGGGUCGAAAACCCCUACACGCAAACAUGCAGCCAUAUCCCGAAUAUUUUUAAUUCAGACCUACUUUGACUGGACUACUAGCGACAAGGUACGAAAGUGGAAGGAUAUAAAAAGCAGACCAAGAGAAAAGAAGACAGUUCGUUUUAUACAGCUGACAAUAUCACUAUGUAGUUGAUUUUACUAUACGUGUGUACUUAUUCACUGAUUUGUAAUAACUCGCUGUGACACGUGUAUAAUAGUUGAAUAGUUGAGAUCACGGAUUGUAAUCAGCUUACGUUAAUAGCCAACAUUAAACAAUAAAUGCGUAGCCGAAGACUUUGCGUCGUAGAAUCCAUUCAAACGACUCCUUCUGCACUAUUGAGAUCCCAAGGAUUCCUAAAAACGUAUUUGGAGCAUCGUGUGAAAAACACCUGAGAGGAUACGCAGAAAAUACGUUACAAUUUUUGUAGGUCUUAUUCAUUUUAUUCCAGGUUACAUAAAAUAGUAAUUAUACAUCUUAUAUCGUACUGAGGUGCAUUACAACUGUACGCAAGCCGAAAAUUGAAAUGCGCUUACAAACUACAAUAAUAACUAUCGCAUACAACAUUGUUAAUUUUCUACUUGCUGCAAUGUAUAUCACAGUAUUUUUUCCUUCUGUAGUAGUCGGACUUCUUACGUAAUGUUCGUUUACUGAAUGGCAUUUUCAUUGCCUUGCACUCAUAUACCAUUAGGAGUAUUACACUAAUUGUAUCAAACAGUUCAAUUUCCAUAAUAUUAUAAAUGAAAAAAUAAAAUCUAUAAGACUUGUAUCAAUCAGUAUCAUCUCAUAAUUAUUGGUAUAAUAUAUCGUUAUUAGUAUAAUGUGUAAGUAAAACAUAUUGUAAUUACACUAUUCAGAAAGUUAUUAAAGCAGUAUGAACUGACUCUGAAACACUUGUACUGCAACUAAUAUGUAA
rnacentral:lncRNA from 1 species